rnacentral:tRNA from 1 species
GCCUUCGUGGUGUAAUGGUCAGAGGACUGAGCAGGUAUUUCAGAGGUCCGUGGUUCGAUCCCCGGCGAAGGCA